rnacentral:rRNA from 1 species
CCCUUAGAUGUUCUGGGCCGCACGCGCGCCACACUGAUGCAUUCAACAAGUGUACCUUGGCCGAGAGGCCUGGGGAAUCUUAUGAACGUGCAUCGUGAUAGGGAUAGAUUAUUGCAAUUAUUAAUCUUGAACGAGGAAUUCCUAGUAAACGCAGAUCAUCAAUCUGCAUUGAUUACGUCCCUGCCCUUUGUACACACCGCCCGUCGCACCUACCGAUUGGAUGGUCCGGUGAAGCCUCGGGAUUGUGACUAGUGCCUUUAUUGGUGUUGGUCGCGAGAACUUGUCUAAACCUUAUCAUCUAGAGGAAGGUGAAGUCGUAACA